rnacentral:rRNA from 1 species
AUUGAACGCUGGCGGCAGGCCUAACACAUGCAAGUCGAGCGGAUGAGGAAAGCUUGCUUUUCGAUUCAGCGGCGGACGGGUGAGUAAUGCCUAGGAAUCUGCCUGUUAGUGGGGGAUAACUCGGGGAAACUCGGGCUAAUACCGCAUACGUCCUACGGGAGAAAGUGGGGGAUCUUCGGACCUCACGCUAACAGAUGAGCCUAGGUCGGAUUAGCUAGUAGGUGAGGUAAUGGCUCACCUAGGCGACGAUCCGUAACUGGUCUGAGAGGAUGAUCAGUCACACUGGAACUGAGACACGGUCCAGACUCCUACGGGAGGCAGCAGUGGGGAAUAUUGGACAAUGGGCGAAAGCCUGAUCCAGCCAUGCCGCGUGUGUGAAGAAGGUCUUCGGAUUGUAAAGCACUUUAAGUUGGGAGGAAGGGUAUUCACCUAAUACGUGGGUACUUUGACGUUACCAACAGAAUAAGCACCGGCUAACUCUGUGCCAGCCGCCGCAGUAACAC